CCGCCUGCGGGGAGAAGGUCGCGGCAGCGGGAUGAGGGGCGGAC
rnacentral:sRNA from 1 species